rnacentral:lncRNA from 1 species
CUUGUAGAGAUUGAUGUCUUUCUAAAUAUGUUUGUGACCUUUUUCUUCUUUUACUUGAUCAUGAUUGAUCUGAUUUUUCAUGACUUUUGGGGCUGAGAUUCUCCUUCUAUUUAUUCUUAUUGUGAUUGAUUUACAUGGAUGUCAUGGAUUGUGAAUUGAUGUCCUUCCAUUCCUGAUGUCCUUCUAUUCUUGGAGCUUUUGAUUGAUUUACUUGAAUGCCAGGAAUUGUGAAUUCAUGUCCUUCCAUUCCUGGAGUCGGCUUCCUUUAUCCUUCCAAUAUUAGCAGUUUUCAGUAUCCUGUCAAGAUACACUUGUUAGUUUGUCAUUAUUAAAACAUAGACUUAGGAAGCUAACAAUCUCCCCAUUUUUAUAAUGGCGAAUAAGAGUAAACAUCAGUUGACUUUCUCUACUCCCCCUGACUGGUAGGCAACUCUGAUAUUCCUAUUUUCUCCCCCUUUGACAUAAUUAAAAAGAAACAGCACUCAGGCAACAUAUAAAUAAGGAAAUCCACACAUAGAGAUACAACAAAGAAAAAAAGUGAAAUCAUUUUAUAACCUAUAUGGCUAGGAAGUAUGUGAGGGAUUUAUGCAUGUUAUGACAGAAUCAUUCAUAACAUUCUUGAACAAAGGGAGUUAAUGAAGACUCCUUUUUCAUAAAAGGUUUACAAAAAAAUGCAUAUUUUUUAUUUAACAAAAAUUGUGGCAAAAUACUGUUCAAAUAAGGCUUAAAAAUCAUUAAUGCUAAGAAUACCAAGCCUUUUUCUAAGGGAACAAAAUUUUUCUUCUAACAGGGGUUUUGUAAUAAUAUCUGCUAGUUGAUUUUCGAAGUCAACAAAUUUUAGAGUAAAAUCACCAUUCUCUACAUGAUCUCGGAUAAAAUGAUGCUUAAUAUCAAUAUAUUUAGCCCUAGAAUAAUGCACAGUAUACUUAGAUAAGCUAAUAGCACUGAUGUUAUCACACAUAAUAGGAAUAGAUUCAAAAGAUAAGUCAAAGUCAAGAAGCUGAUGCAUAAUCCAUAAGAUUUGAGUACCACAACUUCCAACAACUAUGUAUUCAGCUUCAGUGGUUGAAAGAGCAAUGAAAGUUUCUUUCUUGCUAUGCCAUGAUAUAAGGGCAUCACAAAUAAUUUUAUAUGUUCCACUAGUGCUUUUUCUAUUAUUUUUAUCUCCAACAAAAUCAGCAUUUGAAUAACCAAUUAAAUCAAAAUGUGAAGAGCAGAGAUACCAUAGUCCAAAGUCUUGAGUUCC